rnacentral:lncRNA from 1 species
AUUUUAUCCAAGUGAUCUGCUCUUCCUCUCUAAUUUCUUUGCAUUUACAUUAUGAAAAGGAGACCUAAAUUCAUUUAAUAUGGUGUUAGCAUGACUGAUAUGCUUCCAUUUCUCAGAGUUCUCAUUAUUUAUCUCAAAAUUCAGGAAUUUCUCUUGUUCCCUGCUUUUACUGUUUACUUUUCUGCUAGUGCAACAUUCCCCACUACAGACAUCUACAGCUUUUGUAUUGGAAGGCUUCAUCUUCAAAGCAAAGGACAUGGUACAAAAAAUGGAAAAUUAACCAAAAAUAAAGAGGAAACAAUCAAAGCAACCAAAAUAACAAAAUUGUUGGAGCUACUGUCCUUAAAAUUCUAUAUGGUGGACUGAGGAGACUGCAAACUUCAGAUGGAGCACCUAUAAAGUAGUGGAAACUUCAUUAGCCUGGAUGACUGAGUUGCUGCAAAAAGAAUGCUUUCCCUGGAAAGCUGCUUAGUGCCUCAGACAACUUUAUAGAAACUAAAAACAAGCUUUUACUGUAUAACUACCAAUGAUUUUGUUGUUGUUUACUACCUCAGUAUAUCUUCUAGGUUUUCUUGACUAAUAGAUAUUCAUAUCG